rnacentral:rRNA from 1 species
UACGGGGGAUGCAAGCGUUAUCCGGAAUCAUUGGGCGUAAAGCGCCUGUAGGUUGUUUAAUAAGUCUGUUGUUAAAGACUAGGGCUCAACCCUAGAAAAGCAAUGGAAACUACUAGACUAGAGUAUGGCAGGGGUAGAGGGAAUUUCUAGUGUAGCGGUGAAAUGCGUAGAUAUUAGAAAGAACACCGGUGGCGAAAGCGCUCUACUGGACCAUUACUGACACUCAGAGGCGAAAGCUAGGGUAGCAAAAGGGAUUAGAUACCCCUGUAGUCCUAGCCGUAAACGAUGGAUACUAGAUGUUGUGCGUAGUGUACAGUGUCCUAGCUAACGCGUUAAGUAUCCCGCCUGGGGAGUACGCUCGCAAGGGUG